CGACACCUCCUCCCUCGCGCGCUCUCUCUCUCUCUCGGUUUCUUGCUUUCCAGCGUGCACGGAGCAAAGCCUGCAGACGUUUGCUGUAAGCGAAAUGGCGUCCAAGGCCUUGCGCCGCGCCGUCGUCGUCGCUGUGCUCGCCGCGUCCUCCCUCGCGGGGGUCGCCAUGGCCGCCGACGAGCCCGCGCCGAGCCCCACGUCCGGUGCCGCCGCCGUCUCCUCCUCGCUCGCCGCCGCCCUCCUCUGUCCCGCCGUGGCGCUCCUCUUCGGCGGCCUGCGCCGCUGAGUUCGAGGCCACCGCGUGCGCGUGGUGUUGCUGUUCUUGCAUGAUCGACUGCCUCAUGUGCCCUUUUCCCUCCCCCAUUCCUACAUGUGUUUAGGAGCUCUGUUAUUGUACAAGUUUGAUGCGUUUUCUACAUUCUUGUGCGGACCAUCUUCUGUAAUGAUUCAGAUAUUUCAUAUCAGCAUUUGCUGUGUUAGUGGCUUGGUCAGAUA
rnacentral:lncRNA from 1 species